GCUGCAACACUUCAGCCCCACAUGCUGCUCCAUGAAAGCCGUGCCAUUGCCGCUCCGCCUGGAGCUGCCUCUGUAAUUUAUGGCUGACCCGUGACUGUGUUUGGCCACUGCCUGCACUCCAAGCCGACAGACAGUAUUUCGCUCUCCUUUUAACAGUUCCAUAAAUGUCCAGAGCACAUGGUGUGCUGCACAGCUCGAGCUUUAUAGUGCAGCACAGGCCAGCUUCAAAGCUGCGGGGUGUGUCACCUUCUUCAACCACACUUCAAGUGAAGGCACUCCCAUUGAACUAGUGGGUAUUCCAGGAUUUAAACCAGCUAUGAUGAACAACCAGCAAUAAUCAGCAUGGCGUGCGAGACCGACCAGAAUCUGCUGCUGGAGUGAACUCAGUGAAUCUAAAGAUAUCAGGAGAAGUGCAAGUGAUCCAGACCCCUGAUCCAGCUGCAAACCUGCCCACAUUCCUGAUUCCUGGUGUUCUGGACCACAACCCAGGUUCCUGCUGCACAAUAAUGAACAAAACUCUGGAAGGGACUGAACAGAAAACCCAACUGGUUUAAAUAAGCACUGGCCUAUCUAAUUAUAUUUGACUGAUGGCCCAUUUGUAUUGACAGAAAGGAACCUCUGAUGUCAAACUGCUCUGGUAAUCUAUUUCUGAUCUUCCACAGGCACUACUUACAUUUAGCUUUAAUCAAGGGAUGUGUUGGUUGAGUCACUGCAGAUAUCUUCAGCAAUCAAUAAUUAAUCACAAUAAUAGCAAAUUAUUAUGAUUGUAGAGUAGCCCAGAUUAUUUUAAGUUUUAUAAAAUGGAUUCAUAACCAGAAGAGAAAUACCCACAUGAGCUGAAGAAUUUUACUUUAAUUCAUUCAGACCGUGGGCAUCACUGUCUAGGCCAUCAUUUAUUGCUGUUCAAUUAGUGAAUGGCAUUUCCAUUAAAUGGUCUGGUGGGCCAUGUUAGGGGGCAGUUCUGAGCGUCUGGAGACAUGAAAGGCCAGGCUAGGUAAGGAUGGCAGAUAUCCUUCUCUAAAAGGCACGUUGAAUCACUUUCCUUUAUACAAAUAUCAGGUAGUUUCAUGGUCACCAUUAUUGACGAGAACUUUAUAAUUUCAGACUUAAUCAAUUAACUGUUUUUUACAUUCUUUAGAACUGAAUCAUUAAUCAAUGACAAUGGAAAACACCCAGAUAAAUAACGAAUUCUGAACUACUGUGUUAAAUGAGCUCAACGAGAGCUUGUGUCGGACCAAAGAAAACAAAUCAAUCAGGCUAGACAAAAAUGCUGGAGAAACUCAAUGGGUGAGGUAGCAUCUAUGUAGCGAAGGAAUAGGCAACGUUUCGGGUCGAGGCACUUCCUCACUGAUGUCGAGGGGGGGGGGGGGGGGCGGGAAAAAUA